CGUCGGGAUGGGCGGUGGACGCUGCCGGGGUGCUGGUCUCCGGCGCGACGGCGGGCGCGGUGGCCGCGAUCGCGCUGCGGGCCGGCGUC
rnacentral:tRNA from 1 species